CUUUUCCCAGUAUAUUAACAAAUAUCUUGUGGCUCCUCUGGCAUCCUCUUUUUCCUGAAGGAGAAGUCUGGUCACAACCCUUUGGCUUUCCUGGUUUGUGCAUGUCGAGUACUUGAAAAGGUGCUAUGUGGUUUGGGUGGUAGCAGGUAACAACCUCCAGGCACGUCGCAAGGCUGAGCAGUCAGAUGAAGUAGCAAAUGAGCAACGUGGGAACGGGAGUAUUUUCAUAGAUUUGUCUUCUGACAGCAGUAGAAUUGUGUGUAGGAGUUAAUCUUUAGCUCUUCUUUCCAGAAGCAUUUGUAGAAGUUUGACAUUUCUGCAAUUAUUUUUUAAUGUAUGAUAACAAGCUCCUUUGUGUCCAUAGAUACGUGUGUUGCUGCACGACCCGGCAGUGUCCCCGGCGGCACGGCCCGCGUUGCCAGGGCAGCAGCGGCGCAGCGCCGAGGAGCGGCCGCCAUGAGCAGGAAGCGGCUGCAGCAGCUGACGGAGUCGCUGGGCCGCUCCGCCAGGCACUUUAACAAAAGUGAGGUGGAAUGUCUGAUCAAGCUCUUCGACUCGCUGGUGGCCAAGUCCAGCUCCAGCAACCACCAUGCUGUGGUUGGCUUAGACCAUGACAUGUUCCGAGACACCCUGCACAGCGCCUUCGGCCUGACUGAUGACAUGAUGAUGGACAGAGUCUUCCGCAUAUUUGAUACCGCCUGCGAUAACUGCAUCAGUGUGGUGGAAUGGGUGGAAGGCUUGUCAGUAUUUCUUCGGGGGACACUGGACGAAAGGAUUAAAUUCUGUUUUGAGGUUUAUGACCUGAAUGGUGAUGGAUACAUUUCAAGAGAGGAAAUGUUUCAGAUGCUGAAAAACAGCCUUCUCAAGCAACCAGCAGAAGAUCAUCCUGAUGAGGGAAUUAAGGACUUGGUAGACAUAGCACUGAAGAAAAUGCUGGAAGGUCCCUCUGAGCCUAGUCUCACACAGAAAGCAAGCUCCGGCUCAGCAAUUUGUCCGUCUUUGGAGCAUGUACAUGCUCAGCUUUCCUGCAGGUUGCAGCCAAAAUGGAUACCCUCAUGUCUGGCCAGCUGCUAGGUGGGCUGUGCUAGUCCACGCACAAGCAUAAUAAAAUCUCCAUAUAUGUAAGAAUGACCAUGAUGAAGAUGGCAAGCUUUCUUUUGCAGACUUUGAAAAAGCAGUCAGAGAUGAAAAUCUUCUCUUGGAAGCCUUUGGACCAUGUUUGCCAGACUUAAAGAGCAGUAUGGCAUUUGAACAGAAAACUUUCCGCAAAAUCCAUGAACUGUCAUUCCACGUGGAACACUAGUGUAAGAGUUUUUUCUUCACCAUUGUUCAUGGUACAAUAAAGAACAGAGCAACUUGAA